CGGACGGGUGAGUAACACGUGGAUAACCUACCUAUAAGACUGGGAUAACUUCGGGAAACCGGAGCUAAUACCGGAUAAUAUAUUGAACCGCAUGGUUCAAUAGUGAAAGACGGUUUUGCUGUCACUUAUAGAUGGAUCCGCGCCGCAUUAGCUAGUUGGUAAGGUAACGGCUUACCAAGGCAGCGAUGCGUAGCCGACCUGAGAGGGUGAUCGGCCACACUGGAACUGAGACACGGUCCAGACUCCUACGGGAGGCAGCAGUU
rnacentral:rRNA from 1 species